rnacentral:lncRNA from 1 species
CAGUCAGAAUCCUACAUUGGAUCUAUACAUGCAGACUGCAGGGAGAAAGCGUCAGCUUUCUCCUAGAGCUGCUAAAUUGGGGAUAAAGGGGAACAGGGCAGUUGGCCGCCAUCUUUUUACCGUGUGGUAAGAACUGUCCGCAGAAGGGGCAAACAGGAACAAGCAGAGAUUUCAGACAAAGGGGGUGUCAAGGAAGUACAAAGUCCAGUUCGAAGCUCUGCCUGCUGCUGUCCUUCCCGGAUUCCCCACACUUCAGUCAUAGCGACACUGAGGCUAAGGGAAAGAAGUUGCCCAAGGACGCGCUACUCCAGGGCCGCCUGAUCUGUGGAGCUGUUCAACGCUGAGCAGGUGAGUGAGAGGAAGCCACCAAGCCACCAGCUGCGCCGACGGGUUCUUUCCGAGGAGGAAACACAGACCAGCUUCUUGUUUCACUGACCAGACCCCCAGCCCCCACCUGCCAGCCCAGUUACAAAGGUAAGUUCUUGCUUCACCUUUUGGUAAAAGUUCUUAGCCAUUAUGUUCAUUUAUGUUUAUUUA